rnacentral:lncRNA from 1 species
CGUUUGUGACUUUUAUACCAUGGCUGGCUUCCCAUUCUUUUGCUAGGCCCACCAUGCUUCCCGCAGUUACAAGCAGUCUCCUCUAACAAGCUGGGAUCCCCACCUAUGGACCCACCACAAGCAAAUGGCUUCUGUCCCUGGGGUGGGGGUGGACCCGGGGUCCCCCUGUGAAUCCUUGGUCCCACUGCCUCCAGCCCUGCAUAGCCUCUCCAUGUAGUCCGUAUAAUUUUGUGCGUAUGCAUCAUGACAUGAAGAAGGCUGGCUGGGCAGCUGCCAUCCAGGCACACAGGGAGGCAUCGUGUGGUUGGGAGGUGGCAAAGGUGUGGGCUUCGGCAUCGGAGCCUUGGAUCAAAUCCUUGCUGGGUAUGCUUCUCGGAGCUUCAGUCUCCUCUCCUUCCCCGGAUGAACAGAUCAGAGCACCAGGAGUGGGUCAGGCUCAGCCAGCCUCCCUUUCCUUGCUGGUCAAACGGUAAUCACUGUCCUACCUCCUUCCUCAGGCUGUCAGCUCAAGAGCAUGAUUGGCCCAGGGCUAAUGCUCUGCAAGGGAGGCUGUCCUGAUGACGGCUCACUCCAGGCCCAGGGGGCAGGCAGCAAAGGACGCUGUCAGGAUGGGCCUUCUCUGGGGAGAGCCAGCCUUCAAGCAUCAAGGUAGGGGGUGGGCCCAGACCCCCGAUGGGGCCAUCUUCCAGCCCAUCUGGCCCAGGUCCCCUCACCCCAGGACGGUUUCACUCCAAUUCCAGCCAGCUUUCAGGGCAGGUAGGUCUGAGCUGUCCCGUCCAAACAUCCUCUUCCUCGUCUGGAGCCUGGAAGAGCUAAAAAUGCAUCGGCUUUGGGAAAACAAACACUGCGCUUCCCUGCCUUUGUAUACAGGACAAGGCUCAAGGCCACAGGGUGGGCUCCUCCAGGCUGGCUUAGGCCUGGGGGGUCCGUCUGUCUGCCUUCCUGGGGGUCUCCUCUCCUGCCUCCCUGGCACUCACAGGCCAGUGGCCAGAGCCUCAUUAGGGUGAGGUGGUCUGACAGAAGAGGUGGGGUUCUAUGUAAGAACAAUCUCCACCCUCUUCAGGGGGAGGCCCGUGACCCCUCUCCUAGCCCUGGCUCUGGAGCUCAGAGGUGAAAUUUGCAAGUGUAUGUGUGUGCGCACACGCAUGUGUGCACAAAGCCCACAGUAAUAAUAACCAUCACUGUGAUGACCAACAACUGUGGGGUGCUCACUCAGGCUUUAUCACUUCAGGUGCAUUAACUCCUUUAACCCAGUGAGGUAGGGACUAUUGUUACCCACAUGUUACAGAGGAAGAACCUGAGGCUCAGGAAGGUUAAGAACUUUGCUUAAGGUCACAGAGCUAGUAGAUGGUAAGGCAGCGCUUUGAACCCAGGUGGUCUUUGAUGGGGAGCCUAGUCCCUUACCCUCAGCCUCACUUUCUUCAUCUGUACAAUGGGCACAUACGAGGGCAAUGCCUUCUCCCUGGGCAACUGUGGGGGUGAGGCAGGCAGAGGGGAAGGAAGUACUCUGUGGACAGCAAAAGGCCCUGUAGACAGGGCAGCAAGGGGCAUGGGGGAGCUAAUGAGGGUCACAUGGAGUGGGGUAGAGCUUGGAGUCUCAGAUCAUUUGUGCCAUGGUCUUGGGCAGUCCCCAGCUUAGAGCCCCACUUCCUCUCCAUCAAGUACAGAGAAGCAGAGCUGCCUGGCCCAGGUGUUGCUGGCCCUUCUCAGUGGAGGGGAGGCCCUAGUGAUCAUUGCUCUCACUUUUCUGGACUUGAGGGCUAGUUUACCCCGGGAUGC